rnacentral:rRNA from 1 species
AUUGAACGCUGGCGGCAUGCCUUACACAUGCAAGUCGAACGGCAGCACGGGUGCUUGCACCUGGUGGCGAGUGGCGAACGGGUGAGUAAUACAUCGGAACGUACCUUAUCGUGGGGGAUAACGCAGCGAAAGUUGCGCUAAUACCGCAUACGCCCUGAGGGGGAAAGCGGGGGACCGUAAGGCCUCGCGCGAUUAGAGCGGCCGAUGUCUGAUUAGCUUGUUGGUGAGGUAAAGGCUCACCAAGGCGAUGAUCAGUAGCUGGUCUGAGAGGACGAUCAGCCACACUGGGACUGAGACACGGCCCAGACUCGUCCGGGAGGCAGGAGUGGGGGAUUUUGGACAAUGGGGGCAAACCUGAUCCAGCAAUGCCGCGUGAGUGAAGAAGGCCUUCAGGUUGUAAAGCUCUUUUGUCAGGGAAGAAACAGCAGCUCUAACACAGUCUGCGAAUGACGGUACCUGAAGAAUAAGCACCGGCUAACUACGUGCCAGCAGCCGCCGUAA